GAUGAACGCUGGCGGCGUGCCUAAUACAUGCAAGUCGAGCGAACGGACGAGAAGCUUGCUUCUCUGAUGUUAGCGGCGCACGGGUGAGUAACACGUGGAUAACCUACCUAUAAGACUGGGAUAACUUCGGGAAACCGGAGCUAAUACCGGAGAAUAUUUUGAACCGCAUGGUUCAAAAGUGAAAGACGGUCUUGCUGUCACUUAUAGAGGCAUCCGCGCUGCAUUAGCUAGUUGGUAAGGUACCGGCUUACCAAGGCAACGAUGCAUAGCCGACCUGAGAGGGUGAUCGGCCACACUGGAACUGAGACACGGUCCAGACUACUACGGGAGGCAGCAGUAGGGAAUCUUCCGCAAUGGGCGAAAGCCUGACGGAGCAACGCCGCGUGAGUGAUGAAGGUCUUCGGAUCGUAAAACUCUGUUAUUAGGGAAGAACAUAUGUGUAAGUAACUGUGCACAUCUUGACGGUACCUAAUCAGAAAGCCACGGCUAACUACGUG
rnacentral:rRNA from 1 species